rnacentral:sRNA from 1 species
GAGACAGCGGUGACAGGAGCAGCGGCCGGGAGCCCUUAGGGAGGCAGACAGAGCCUGCAGCCAAUGCCCCAGGAGCCCUCGGUUCCAACCGAUGCCCCAGUGCCCACUGGCCCACGCCAUGCAGCCCCAGUCCGUUCUGCACAGCGGCUACUUCCACCCACUACUUCGGGCCUGGCAGACAGCCACCACCACCCUCAAUGCCUCCAACCUCAUCUACCCCAUCUUUGUCACGGAUGUUCCUGAUGACAUACAGCCUAUCACCAGCCUCCCAGGAGUGGCCAGGUAUGGUGUGAACCGGCUGGAAGAGAUGCUGAGGCCCUUGGUGGAAGAGGGCCUACGCUGUGUCUUGAUCUUUGGCGUCCCCAGCAGAGUUCCCAAGGACGAGCGGGGUUCCGCAGCUGACUCUGAGGAGUCCCCAGCUAUUGAGGCAAUCCAUCUGUUGAGGAAGACCUUCCCCAACCUCCUGGUGGCCUGUGACGUCUGCCUGUGUCCCUACACCUCCCAUGGUCACUGCGGUGAGUUCCCUUCCUCCCACCAGCCCUGCUGCCACCCACACUCCUACUGCCCACUUCUCACCAGGGUGGGGACAGGCCAGGGCCCAAGGUGCUCCCCAAAACCCAGUCAUCUGUCCUGAAGGGCUCCUGAGUGAAAAUGGAGCAUUCCGGGCUGAGGAGAGCCGCCAGCGGCUGGCUGAGGUGGCAUUGGCGUAUGCCAAGGCAGGAUGUCAGGUGGUAGCCCCGUCGGACAUGAUGGAUGGACGCGUGGAAGCCAUCAAAGAGGCCCUGAUGGCACAUGGACUUGGCAACAGGGUAUCGGUGAUGAGCUACAGUGCCAAAUUUGCUUCCUG